UAAAGAACCUACCUUAUAGACAGGGACAACUAUUGGAAACGAUAGCUAAUACCUGAUAAGAAAGAAACUCGCAUGAGAGAAGUUCGAAAGUCGGAGCAAUCUGACACUAUAAGAUGGCUUUGCGGUGCAUUAGCUAGUUGGUAGGGUAAAAGCCUACCAAGGCGACGAUGCAUAGCCGACCUGAGAGGGUGAUCGGCCACAUUGGGACUGAGACACGGCCCAGACUCCUACGGGAGGCAGCAGAU
rnacentral:rRNA from 1 species